AUGCCGUCUGCCGUGUUCGACAUUGAAGCCCUAGACGAGGAGGGCUGGGAGAGAAUACACCGAUAUCUCAAGGGGAACAAGGGCACGGCUCGCGACCAGGCCACGGAGACGGGGAUGAAGGCGCUCAAUACAGUGGAGGCGCCUUCCGACGGCCGUGACUGCCCGAUUUGCUUGGACAACGCUGCGGCGAGGGGCGCGUGGAAGGAGGGCCCGUGCAGGCACAGCUUCCACGAGGCAUGCUUGGAGAAGUGGCUGAUCAAGGACAAAGAUAAGGGCAGUUGCCCCUUGUGUCGCCGCAAGUUGGCACCUCGUGUAUUUCCUCCGCUAAGUGAUAUCGUGCGCAGGAAUGGAAGGCAUGUGCUUGGGGUCGAUCCCUUUGCAUGGUGA
rnacentral:rRNA from 1 species